rnacentral:lncRNA from 1 species
GGCGCCGGGCCGCGCUCCUCGCCUUAUUUAGUCAAGCAGGCUACCCAUUGGCCCGCAGGACAAAGGCGGUUCCGGCCGGUGCGCGCGGAGACCCUCGCCUGUGCGCUUGGGAUCCGAGACGCAGCCCUCCCUGGGGACGCGGGGGAGGGGUAGCCCCAGCCCCGCCGGAGCGGAGCCGCAGCCCGGCCUCCUAACGCGGUGCACGAGAAGGAGGCGCUGUGAUUUGUCAGUUUUGCAACUGGGCAGUGUGAGGGAGGCCUCGCCCAAGGUCAGGUCCGGGCUGUUCUUGCCUGCUGUGGAAGUUGGCGGCCCCACCCCACUUGGAGCAGGAAUUGAGAAUGCCUGGCUUCCGUGAGCCUGCAGGCCAGGGCUGCAGGCUCACGAUUGCAGGGCUGCCAGAAGUGGGCGUGUCUCCGUUGUAAAGAAAGACUCAGUCUAGAGAAAUGAUAAAAAACAUUUUUCCUUUGCUGGCUUUGGUCGGCUUUUAUUGUGACGUUGUUGCAUCUUAUUUCAUAUUCCGGUGGAUUAAUGCAGCAGUUGAAGAGUUGGGGAGAUUUACUGCAGGCUGGCUCCAUCCGACACCCUCCCAGGUGGUCACUGCAACCUGUCACUUCCUUCUCCCUGCGGCCACUUUGGAUUCCCCGGAGAGUCCGGUCACCUCUGUGCUUGGUACCUGGAUCCUCCAGCAAGGCUCCGCCCACCAAGGCACUUCAUACUCACUUUCUCCUUGUUAGGCAACGGGAACGAGAAACAUGGUCUCCACUGUUCCUGCCCUCAGGGGUGUCAACCUAACCUUAGAACAGAAGAGAGUGAAAAGGCCGGGAGCAUCAGGCCAGGUUUGGAAUGUAUGCCAAGGUUACCCUCAGUAAGGGAGCUGACGUUACAGUGUAAUGAGUGAACUCCUCUGAUGUCUUUGAAACUUUUAAGUAAACCUAAAAGCCCAGAAUAAAAAGGGAACUGUAAAAGUCUGAGGA